AUCUAGGGUCAUAUUGUCUAUCUCCUGUGUGGCCUACUGACACAAAGUGAUGACAAAAUCUUUUGUGUUACUCCCAAAGGGCUAAGAACUUCUAAGAAAUCCUAACUCUCAUCAAAGCUGCUUUCUUUACAAGUAGUUAGUUGACCUCUAAUGCACUCAUUGUUUGUUUGUUUGUAUUCAGUUAAAAAAGAAAGAAAGACAAAAAAGAGAGAGAGGGGAAGAACAAAAGACAGAGAGAAAAAGAGAAAAAGAAAAGAGAAAAGGAAAGGGAAAGGAAAAGGAAAAAGAAAAGAAACAAAAAGGAAGAAAACAAGUCUGUCAUCCUAAAUAAUAGGAUGUAUAUCAGGAAUAUUUAAGAACUUGAGCUUUUUACUGUAAGUCAAUAUUUCAAUUAAAAAUAAAUUAGUCCUUGACAAUAGAACAUUUGAAAAAUAUGCUUUGUUAUGUACUUUACUUAAAAUACUAUAUCAACAAUUAAGAAAAAGUUGACAGAAUAAAUCAGUGUUGAAAUGUAUCUUAAUAGGUUUUCUUCUGGCUUGUUUGAGGGUUUCCUUCUUCUUCAGUGCUAAAGUAUGAAUAUUUUAUUCUUUACUAGUAGUCCCACUUCCCACUCUCUUCCUCUUUACAGUGACUGCUUUUAAUCUACACUAGGCAAGAAAUCCUUAUAAUCAAAGUUGUUGUCAUGGGCAAAAUACUGAGUGAAAAGGCUGUGAGUAAAUAUGUAAGGACUUAUUUUAUUAGUAAGGUCCACAGAACUAAAAAUACCAAUAAUAACUUUUAUUUGAAAUUUUGAUUGGUUAUUCAAAAAUAUUUCCUAAGUAAUUGGAACUGAUUGUAACUCUAGCACAGUGUAAUGAAAAUUUCCCAAAUGCUCCAUAUGACCUUUCUCUUGUUCACAGACUAGUUUCUUUUUUCUCCACCUCCAUGUUGCUAACCAUAAUUCUGACUCUGCCAGAGGAGAGGGAGAAGAGUGAGAAAAGAUUUUACUCCAGUGGUACCAUCUCAAUGCGGCAAGUAUUUAAGAUUGCCAGUUUAAGGCACAGAUUCUUGAAUAAUUUUAUGUGGACAGCAUCACCACUAUAUCCACUUUUCAGAGAGAUAUUAAUAUGCCAAAAUGUGAAUUCAGUCACAAUUACGACGUUGAGUUCUACUUGAAACUGGGUAAAGGUAAGAUA
rnacentral:lncRNA from 1 species